CGUUCUCCCCUUUCCCACUUCGGUCAUUCUCUUCCUCUCCAGAUUGUUCUUCAACUCGUAUUUGAUUUUCAUUUCAAAUCACAAAAGUUUUUUUCGGAUUUUUUUUUUGAUUUAAAUCUAAUGGAAAAAAGUGAGACUUGGUGGAUAUUGUCUGUUCUGAAGUGAGAAACAGAAAGGGCUUACGUGUUCCAUAUAGAGCUGGUCACAAAGGUUUUGGAUAUCCUUCGUUUCCAAAAUAGUGGUCAUGUACUUCAGCAAAGAGUGGUCCAGCAUUCACCCUAUUCCAAAUAUCAAGAAAAACUUUUGGUUCCUAUUCUAAGCUAGCACAAAAUAAUCUAAAACU